GUGGGGAAUCUUGCGCAAUGGGCGAAAGCCUGACGCAGCCAUGCCGCGUGAAUGAUGAAGGUCUUAGGAUUGUAAAAUUCUUUCACCGGGGACGAUAAUGACGGUACCCGGAGAAGAAGCCCCGGCUAACUUCGUGCCAGCAGCCGCGGUAAUACGAAGGGGGCUAGCGUUGCUCGGAAUUACUGGGCGUAAAGGGCGCGUCGGCAGACAGUUUAGUCAGAGGUGAAAGCCCAGGGCUCAACCUUGGAAUUGCCUUUGAUACUGGCUGUCUUGAGUACGGGAGAGGUGAGUGGAACUCCGAGUGUAGAGGUGAAAUUCGUAGAUAUUCGGAAGAACACCAGUGGCGAAGGCGACUCACUGGCCCGUUACUGACGCUGAGGCGCGAAAGCGUGGGGAGCAAACAGGAUUAGAUACCCGAGUAGUCC
rnacentral:rRNA from 1 species